rnacentral:rRNA from 1 species
CCUACGGGUGGCAGCAGUGGGGAAUAUUGGGCAAUGGGCGCAAGCCUGACCCAGCAACGCCGCGUGAAGGAGGAAGGCUUUCGGGUUGUUAACUUCUUUUCUCAGGGGCGAAGAAGGUGACGGUACCUGAGGAAUAAGCCACGGCUAACUACGUGCCAGCAGCCGCGGUAAUACGCAGGUGGCAUGCGUUAUCCGGAUGUAUUGGGUGUAAAGGGCGUGUAGGCGGGAGCGCAAGUCAGCGGGGAAAACUCAGGGCUCAACCCUGAGCCUGCAUUUGAAACUGUGGUUCUUGAGUGCUGGAGAGGCAAUCGGAAUGCCGGGUGUAGCGGUGAAAUGCGUAGAUAUACGGAGGAACACCAGUGGCGAGGGCGGAUUGCUGGACAGUAACUGACGCGGAGGCGCGAAAGCGUGGGGAGCAAACAGGAUUAGAUACCCGGGUAGUC